ensembl:lncRNA
UUAUAGUGCAGGUAGUGUUCACUAAUCUACUGCAUUAUAAGCACUUAAAGUACUGCUAGCUGUAGAACUACAUAUUCAGCAUGUUUUGCAAUUUGUUGUUAAAUUGAACACUGUUCUCUGGUUAGUUUUGCAGGUUUGCAUCCAGCUGUAUGAUACUCUGCUGUGCAAAUCCAUGCAAAACUGACUGUGGCAGUGACAAGUCAGUCAGUAAAUGUGGAAAACUUGUACCCCUUUCUACACAGGUUGGGAUCAGUUGCAAUGCUGUGCGUUUCUGUGGUAUUGCACUUGUCCCGGCCUGUUGAGGUUGGUGGGGAUAGAGGCUGAAACACUUCAUAGUUUUGAGGAAUUUCUACCUCCUCAUUGAUGUAGGAAACCUAAAAACCUUAAGUUUCUCCUUGGAAAAAAUGUAAUGUAAUUUUUGGUGUAACUAGAUGUUCAUUUUCUGUAUCUGAAUUGUUUGUAUGUACCAGAUUUGUUGCUGAUAAUAAUUAUUUACUGAAGUCCUUGAGUGUGUGUGGAGGGAGGGAGUUUCAUUUGUUCUGGUUUGUUUCUUUUAAGAAAAAGUUACAAGUCUUCUAUUAAACUGAGCUGAAAUGCGUAUUUACAGUUUCUUCUCCAUUACUUUGUUGGGAUGAAAUGGGUCCUAAGAAACAAGCUCAGAGACUUUGUUUCUUAAAUUCAAAUUACAUGAAUUAAUAGCUUUCUUCUGUACUGUUUUUUUUUAAUUUUUACUGUUAUCAAAACUAGAUGUUCUAAUUAGUAGUGUAAGAGCACACUUUUAAUUAUGGUUCCUUAUCCAGAUUUGGUUAAGUUCAGGAGUAGUAAAGAUGGUUACAGACAGGGUCUUAUUAUGCCUCAGCUAUGGCAUCUUUAAUGCUAGUUAGGUGUCUGCAUCUUGUGAGGCAUCUGCAUUUGUGGUGAGCGUAACACUGGUCGUCUUGCAAGCUUUGGAGUAAUUCACAUAGCAUAUGAUGCAUAGCAAUAAAAAUAGAAUAUCUCUGGAGCUAUGUGAAGAGCUCACCCAUACAACUGUUUCAAAAGGCUGGGGACUGAUUCAAUAUCUUGCUUCAUAAGGAAGUAUAAAUGUAAAAUCUGCAAGUGGAGCAUUUGACACUGUCUUUGGAUGAGCCAUGUGCUAGUGAACUACACUUGUAGCUCAAACAUCAAUGGAUUUAUUUUCUGAAGUGGGCUUUCUAAGCAAUAGUGCUGUAAAUUCCAACAGGUAUUUUAUUUGUUGGUUACAGCUGACAAACUCUAUAGUCCUCUAAAACACCUGUGUGGUAGAAUUAAGAAUAUUUGGGUCAAUGCUGCACUUGCUGUUCUUAAAUUAAAGCAGAAUGUUAAGCUAAAUGGGUCGUUGUUCCCAAGGCUGUUUUUCAGAGCCUGUCAAUGUAUGUCAUGAUGCUGUCUCAGAAUUUCUCUUAUUCCCAUGUCUAGCAAAAUGUUGUCAUUUCUUUUAAAUUUCUUUCUGAUGUAUCCAAGCAGCCUCAGAUUUACCUUUGUGCCCUUUUUCUUCUGCUACUCCCAAAGUCCUCAGACAGGUUCCUUAUCCAAAAUACCCUUUCCCAAACCUUAAAAUUUUCUUCAGUUCUGCAGAUUUAGAGGAAGCUUCUUCUUGGUGAGGUCAGGUAAAGAGGGCAAGUUUCUCAUGUCGUGAUUUCUCUUCAGUAAGUUCCUGUAGUAAUCUGCUGGUGGUAGCAGGUUUAGCUCCUUUUUGAAUGAAAAAGCUGGCUACUUUCUAGCACAAGUUGAAAUACAACAAGUGUUUUAGUAUGUGAUUACGUUUAUAUUGUCAUGUGAGCAGUAUGUUUUGAAGUAUACAUCUUAGAUUUGACAAUGAAACGUCUUAAAAGUGAGUGCUUAUAAAAGCAGUUUUUAUUCCAUGGAAUUUUGAGUUGUCCCAUUAGAUUGGUUGGAGAGUACCUACAUAGCUUUUUUUAAAACCUUUAUGUAAAAAAUCAAAUGACAGAAGUAUUCCUGUUCCCAUCAUUUAAUUCUUAAUUGCCCAGCCUGACUGGAGAGAACAAUGACAAAAAAGAGGGAGGGGGGAAAAAACACUGACAAUUUGUACUCAUCUACAAGUAUUUUUCUGUACACAAGUGAAAUUUUAUUGCACCUUUAUACAACUGCCAUACACCAUUUUAAACAUAAUGGCAAGCUGUGCUUUGUCAGGGGCAGUUACAGUAAUGCCUGUGUAAACUCUAAUAACCAUCUUCUGAAUGCUUUCAAUACAGCUUCAUCUCACUAAUUGUAAAAUUUGUACAAUCAGAGGCUUAUUAAAUGCUUUUUUUAAAAAAAGUGGAUGUACUGAGUACUGAUUCUAAUGUGUUGCUAUUGAAUUGUAGAUUGGCUUUGGUUGGAGGAGACUUUGAAGAUCAUAUAGUUCCACCCCCCCACCAUGGGCAGUGUUGCCAACCACUGGAUUAGAUUACCUGGGGCACUCAUCCCAAUUACAGGGCUGGGGUAUCCACAACCUCCUUGGGCAACCUGUCUGAGUGCCUCACCACCAUAUGAGUAAAAAAUUUCUUCCUGACAUCUAACCUCAAUCUCCCCUCUUGUUGAAAACUAUUCUUCGUUUCCUUAUUGCUGUCAGACUGUAAGUGCUUGUAAGCUCCCUUGAAGUACUGGAAGGCUGCAAUGAGGUCUUCCUGGAGCCUUCUCCAAGCCCACUUUCCUCAGCCUAUCCUUACAGAGGUCCUACAGCCCUUUGAUCAUCUUUGUAACCCUCCUGGACUCAUUCCAGCACCUUUGUCUUGUGCCAGGGGCCCCAGUCUCAAACUGUAAUAGCCUUAAACUCUGCUUUAUGAGGGCAGAGUAGAGGAGGACAAGGCCCUACCUCAGUGUGCUGGCCACCCCUCUGUUGGGGAUGCACUGCGGGGUCAUGUCUGGCUUUUUGUCCAUGAGGACCCCCAAGUCCUUCACAGGGCUGCUCUCACUGAGUUCUCCCAGUCUGUACUAAUCUGGGAUUGUCUUGACCCAUGUACAACACCUUUCACUUGUCCUUGUUAAACCUCAUUAGGUUCUUGUGUUUGGACUUCCUGAGUGUGUCCCAGGUCCCUCUGAAUUGUCUCUCCCUCCUGUUGUGUCAACUACACUCAGCUUAGUGGAUUGGUAGAUUUCUGUUGUCUGUAUAGUGAUCCUUGUACAUCAAGCUUGUUGUAAAUUAUUUUUUCUUCACUUGAAUAACUCCUAAGAAGUAAUUGUUAGUUCUGUGUAUUUUAGUUUCAUUGAAGUUGAGACAUAAAUUGGUUGACAGACAGUGGUAAUGAGAGAAAUAUUGCUGCUGCAAGUUCAUCUGGUUUCAUUGAAAUAAACUGAGCCCUGUCACUCUUGUUUCUGUAAAGGUUGACUGGAGUGGGAUGGUUAGGCAGCUAAAAUGAGUUGUUUAAAAAAAAAAAAAAUCUGUGGAGAUGCCAUUUAAAAAUACCAGAGUAGGUAUUUUCUGCAGAUGUGUUCAGAUGAUGAGUCUAUUAAAAUAGCCUCAAGUAGAUGGGAAGCUUAUAUAGGCCUUGGUGUGGGUAGUCAUUUUUUUUAAGUGAUCUCCUGCUACAGAAUUUAGCUUGAGCCAUAUACGCUGUUAGCUUAGCACUAGUAAAUGUAAGCCUCUACAGAAUUUUAGCAGUUCUGUAAAAUGUUUUUUUCAUUUUUUUCUGCAGUAGGAGUAACUUUGCUUAUUGUUAUGGGGGGGUGGGGGGGGAAGUAAAGCAAGAAAUUCCAAGCAGUAUUAAUACUUGCCUGGAGUUUUUUUGUAAAGCACAGUUAGCCUUAUAAGGAAAACCUUGUCUGUUAAUCAUAGAAAACUUUUCUCUGUACACUCUUAGUAUCUGAAAGCAUGAUGGGAAAUUAUGCAGUUUUUUUUUCAGUAGUUUGUCACUGCAUGCUACCAGAAAAACAGCUCAGUUCUUUAGAUCUGACUUGUGUUGACUUUCAAAUAUCAAAGCUACUAGUGAGAUGACUGUCAGGAGCAGACAUUUUGAGUAAUAGCUAGUUCAUAGGCAGUAAAUGUGCAUAAGACUAGAUGGGGAUGUCCCCUGGUGUGGCACCGUGGGAGUUCUGCAUAGCUGACAUUAUCAUGAGAAACUGCAUGCAAUACUUGAUGUUCUGCUUUUCACCAAUUCUCAUCUUUAAAGUACAUCAUUUUUGGUAGUUUAUAAGUGGUGUCUUAAACUCUGUUUUAGUACCCACAGAUUUCUUGAAAUCUUUCUGUACCACCUUCCAUCAUUAGACUAGAACUUACUCCUGCAGUUUUCUCCUUUACUCAUGUUUAGUAGCUUCAGAGUAGUUGAUACAAGUAUCAUUCACCAUAUAAAAUACAGAACUGUCACUGGUACAGAAGAUAAAGCAGUUGAUCAUAAAGCAGUGGACUGUGUCAUGUCUUGACUCUUCAUCAUAGCAUUACACUUAAAAAAAAUGAUUUGGUCUCUGGCCAUUGGCUUUUUUGAUUAUUAUUACUUUAUUAUUUAGAAUGAGGUCUAGAUGAGAAGGUAUUGUGAAAAGAACUAAAUGUCUCUGAGAUUCUUCUCUAGUCUUCUCAGUACAUCCUUCUUGUGCCUUCCUGAUGACUCAUCUGUUGGCUCUUACUCUACUUCAGUGUAGCAAUGUUAGUAGGUACCUGUCUACCUUUACUUGGUUUGGUAAAUGUGGGGGGAGUGGAGACUGCCUGCUAAUGUCUAACACAGGUGACACUGGAAAUGAGUUUUCACCCUAACAUCAUCCUAUGCUGCAAGUUCUGAAGCUCUUCAUGUUUCAGAAGGAGAUUUUGAAAUGCAGAAGGCAGACAGAAAAUGGUGGGUAAAUGGGGUGAUUUAAUAAAAGGAUGCUAAUAGCUACACCAGUAGGAUUCCUGGAUGGAGGGGUCUCAAGUACUGGCCCAGCGAGUAGAGAUUGAGAGUUGUAAAAUUAAUCUUCUCUCAGUUAUUUUAAAUUCUCUAUUUUUCUGACAAAGUUUUGUUCUUACUGUUAAAGAAAACUUAAUAUUCUGUAGCUUACCCAAAUCAUUUAAUGAAAGAACAGUUGAAUUCAUGAAGUCUGUUUUCUUGGCGUUGGGUGUUGUUUUUUUUAUUACACUUAAAUUGUUAGGGUGAUAUGAUGUACAAGUAGUUUAGGUGUAACUAUCCAAAUACAGAGUGCUUGGUUAUAGCCACAUGCUGGCAUCUUCAGACUUGUUAGAGUCUGGUUCAGGUUCUAUAAAUGCAUAGCAAACUACUCAAAGCUUUAAAUGCAAACAGCUGUAAUUUGGGUAGUCCUAAUAUUUUUUUGUGAUACAAAAGAUCAACAUUUCUGGUCAUAAUCAACCAAAUCAACCAUCAGAAAUUGCCAGAUUUUUGGGACUAAACUGAAAUUGAGGGAAGGCAUUUGUCCAUGGUUGAUUAAAAAUUAGUUGUUCAUAAUGGUUCUUACAGAUAGCCACCAUCCUAAUGUGUGGUUUGUUUCACAAGCUUGGUAAAUGGCUCUAGAUAAGACUUAAUGGAAGAAAAGCUUGUUUUGGAGAUGAGUGUUCAGUGCAUAUCUGGGGUUCAGACUGGCUUUAAUUACUGCCAGGUGAGCUAGCUCAUUAGUGCUUGCUAGUACAUAGUCUGAACCAUAUUAUUAAUAAAGUAAUGUUUGAGAAUUCAAAAAGUAGCCUGUGAUAAACACUUCAGUGCUAGCCCUUGUAUACUGUAGUUACUUAGUCACUUUGAAAAGUGUGUGCUCUCAUGAGUUUGUAAAGAGAUUCAGACCUGCAGAUAAGUUGUGGUUGGUCAUGCUCUACUUAGGGUAAAAGUAUACAGACCUGUUUUCUGUGGGAAAAACUGUGAUGUUCAUAGCUGGCAUUCCAGGGAGGGGAGAUAAAAACAGGAAUGGAUAGGGAAAAGAAAGAAGAGCUAGAAAGCUCAGUUGAGGCAGAAGGCUACUAUAACUUGGGUUACUUAAUAAUUCUCUACGCUUUGUGUGCUGCUGUAACUGACAAGAAUGCUAGAACAACUGGCCUGCUGUGGGGCACGUCAGCAGUUUGGAUAGAUUCAGAUACCUACAUCUUUUAAGAUUGUUCAUGACAGUACUCUUCCCUGCUCUAGAAAAGAAAUCUAGCAUGUUCUAGCUUAGUACUCUUCUAGUCACUUCUCCAGUUUUUUUAAGUGUUGUCUCUGCAGGGCUAUAGAACAUGAACACUUAAAAAAUACUGAGUCACCAGUUAGUUGUGUUUUGAUACGUACAUCUCUUUCCUGCUCAUCUUCCCCCACCCCUCUGAAUAUGUAAAGGCCUGUACUUUUUGAGGAGAAAUCAACCUUUAUUCCCUAGUUGUAAAAUAAAUGGAAUAGAAAUUGAAAGGUUCUAAAUACUUGAAAAUAUCUACACAAUGAAUCCUAUCAAGCUCUUCAGGCUUAGGUUUUUUGUCUUUCUGGUUGUUUGUUUUUUUCUCUUGAAGAUUAAAUGCAUCUUGAAGAGAGGCAUUUUUUGUUUCCAAGUGUCUCAUUCUCUAGUUAAUAUAGGAAUGGACACUGCUAGGAGGCUCAUCAGACUACCUCUAUUAGUGCACUAAAAACAUGAAAAUAAAAGGUUUAGUUAAAAAAAAAAUGACUUGGAAAAUGUGUGGAAUAAAAGAUAUUCAAAUUGCUAAGAGUAGCAGUGUCUUAAGAUUGUUCUGCUUGUCAGUGGAUUACCAGUCUCUAGAUAAAAAGCUGUUGUCUAGCAAAAGCUUUUGAAAACACAAAAACAGUGACUGAUACCUAAAUUGCGUUACUGGAAAUUGUAGGUGAGAUGGAGCUGUGUAGUUGGUGUUAGUUUAAAUAAUUCCUUUUACUACAUAGGAUAAUAAGCAAGGUUCUGCUCCCAGUUUUGCAGUGUGUUUUUGUGUGCAUCAGAAUUAUCAGAUAAAGUAUGUAAGCAAGUCAUGAAUAUGCAUACAUGUCUCUUCUGCAAUUCAUGAAAUCUCUUCAAAGUUGUUAAAAUUACGUUCUCAAGAUACGUGGCAAGAAGAUCUCUCUUAGUACUUUGUGCCCCCUUUCAACUAUCGCAUAACAACGCUGGAAGUUCCUGUUGCAGUAUGAUAUCGCUCAGGAUGCUGAAGUUCCUUUUGCACAAGUUUUGCACUCCGAACUACUCAGUUCAUAAGGUGAUUCCAGUCUGAAAGUUGUUAGCAUUCUUCUGUAUGUCACAAAGUGUGUGCUCCUUGAAUCUGUCAGUUCCUUGCAGUAGAAAUACAGCCCUGCUCUUGCAGUAAUGGUCUGUGAGUGUUUCUGAAAGUGUUGGAUGGGAUUUCUGUGCAGGUGAGUAUGCUGUAAGAACUGACUAGGUCUUAGCUCAAAUAAGCUUGCUGACAUACUUGUAAGAAUAAAUGUAGAGAGAAUUUCAAGAGUUGUCAUGAGCAGCAAACAUACUAGAGGUCUUUGGAGUGUUUUGAACAGUCAGCCUCUUGAGCUUGGAAAUGCUCCUAAGAAAUGGACUGGAGAUUCUGAGAGGAAAAAAAAAAGAUUGGUUCUAGUCUUCUUGGUCUGUAUGCUUUAAUAUCUGGAUGCCUGGGUAAGUAAAGUAGUCCUUUCCUUUUCUUCCUGUUUGCAUAUCCAUUUACAGAAAACAGGUAUCCCAGGUGAAAUCAAAUGGUAAAACUGAAUACAUCCUGAUGACCAGCAUUUAAGAGGCUGCUUCAUCAGGAUAGUGAAUGCAGGUUUUGCUCCGUGAGAAUUCAUGAGCAAUCUAAAAUACAGGUUGUCUGCACAGAUCAGUGAAAACACUUUGGCUGCCCAGGCCUGAGUCAGCUCCUGUUUGAGGCUGUUUUCAAUUAGGAUGUUUCAUUUUACCUUUAAUUUCCUAGCAACUCGUGUCUAAGGAUUGUGCCAAUGACUUUGACAACAGAUGCUCACUUCUUGUAUCUACUGCUCAAGUUAUUUCUGUCUUUUUUUUAAGAUCUGAUUAUUUAAAUUAAGCCGGUAAUAAAGUGCCCAGUCAGUAGAAAAAAAAAAGUUAUAUGUGGACUCAUAGAGGUACUGUCCUUGUGGUUUAGAAGAGGAAAAUAGAUUUAUUCAUAUCACAUUUGUGUGAAUAAACUAUAUCCAAAUAUGAGAGAAGGUUGAGAUGGAUAGAAGAAAAAACUUAGUGGUAGAGUAGGGGAGAGAAUGAAAGGGAAGAAAGAUAAUUAUUGAAAUGGAAGCUACAGGUAGGUGAUGUUAAGACUAAGCUUUCUUCACUGAAGUGUUGGACAGUUUGGAUUGAUAACAGUGUUUUUCCUCCUCUGGAUCUCCAUAAUGCUGCAGAAAUUGUAUGUAUCGCAAGCCUAGUUUUGUAAACACUGAACUCAGGUUUUUUUCUUUGUUCUAUGAUUUUAGUGCAGGGAAACAGGAAGGGUGGAAAAAAAGCCUUCAGAGCUUUCUUUGCUGAAUUGGUGGACUAUUGUUAAUUCUUAACAUUAUACCUUUGCAUUAAGUACUGAAUGUGUGGAAAAGUGUUUAGGCUUCUCAAAGGUAUCUAGUCUUGCUCUGAUCACAUACUAUAUACAGAGGCUUUGGGGGCUUGUUUUUCUUUAAAGAGAAUAAAAACAUAAAAUGUUACAUAUUGAAUUAAAAUAGUUUUUCCUUUUGAUUCUCUUAAACACUGUAAGUCCCUACAGGUCAAUAAUUCAAAUUACUUCCCUAAUUCACGUAAGUCAGUAACAAUAACUUUUUGUUAUGGAAGUUGAAAAUAAUGGUUAAAGAAGGUUAAAGAAUGCUCAGAGCCUUGGAGAACGAAGUCUCUCCUGGAUUCCAACUGAAGAUGACUAUUCUGUACUGAAACAACUUUGUGAGUCUUACAACCUUUUCCUGGCAGCGUAGCCCACUGUAACCCAUAUACUGAUUAGAUGCUUCUCUGGGUUGCUUCAGUGUAGUACUUGUCAACAUACCUGGACACAAACUGGAAUCUGAGGUAUACCCUUCAUCUACCAGCAUAAUUCCCUCCCCAGCUCAAGCAACAUCUGUGGCCUUGAUGGAUGUACUUCAUGCUCUGAUGUGGGAAUGGUUACAUGAGGAAAUAGUCUGUAGAAGCUAUGAACAAAAAUAAGAAGCUGGGGAGCCAACAGGAUGUUUGAUUAUCAUGAAUGACAUAUACAUGCUAAAAGGAGUAGACCAUGGAAGUUGGAUGAAAUUAAGCUGAGAAUUAAAAUAACCAACUGUUCUUCGUGUGGUGGUAUUGGCUUCCAGAAGUGGCAACAGUGAGAAACUUGUAUAUGGCUGAGAAUAGGAUGGCUAGAAAAAUGCUUUCCUGUGUAGUAUCUGCUACAAAUAUCAGGAAAUGGAGGAAAAUCAGAAAAUCAGGAAAGAAUCACUUGCUAAACGGAGUGUAUGGGAACUGUUGAGUCAUGGCCUGAACCACUGAUUGAGCACCUAGGGAAAAGACCUCGUCUGCAAGAACUUUUAGGUUAAGUUCAUGUCAUUAGAGGUAUAAAUACAAUAUUAGGAAGUAAAUAACUAUCUUUAUUUGAUCAAAUACAAAGUUUACAGAAUGUUAAUAGGAUGACUGUUACAAUGUGUGUUAAGUGAGAAAAGAAAGUUGGUGACAGAACUUACUUUAUGCUUCAUAUAAACUGCUCUGGGAAAGAUGCUAGCUAGCUGUUGCUAUGUUUGAACAGUUGGUGGCUCCAAUGCUUUGCAGCUGUCGCUAUGCAAGUCGCCAAAACAAGUUAAUUCAGUUCUAGCUGUGUAUAUUGAUCUAGUUAGAAAUCUAAAAUCAGAAUCACAGACCUACUAAAUAAACACUCCCAACUUUAAGUCAUUUUGUAAAUACUUAAUAGUUAAAUAAGCAUGAAUUUCAAUAUCCUGUCAAGCUUAUGAUAAUUUAAGAGGCCACCUUGCAAAACGGCUGUUCAGAAUCGGUAGCUAUGUUCCUAAAGCCAGCAUAGCUAGCAAGACUGCUUCUACUCCAUAUUGCAGGAUUGUACAGGUGAGACAGAUGACAGAUACCAUGACUGAAAGGGAGGCAGGGGGGAGUUGUCAAAAGGUCAGUUCCUGGGAAAGAUGCAAAGAAGAUCGUAUUUACUGUGCAGUCAUUCCUUAAAUUGAGCCUCACAAAUGUUUAUAUGCUUUAAAAACAUGUUUAAAAUAAGGGGUUUAGUGGGCAGUGGGUUUUGAGAGAGCAAGAUUAUAGCAACAGAAGAGCUGAUGAUGGUGAGCUGUCAUUUUUGGUGGCUGCAAGAACUAUUAAUAAAAGGAGAGGUUAGAUAUAAUAAAUAACUUUGUAUGAUGUAUUAGUUCAGAAUUUUGAAGAAAGCUUUGACUUAAAAAAUAUUUAAAUAGAAAUAGAAAUUUCCAUGGAUGCAUAUACAUACUUUUCUAAUGUGUUUUUUUUUUGCUUGUUUUUAAUUCUUGGUUCCAGAAAAUGUCAUUGGAGCAUUGGAACAUUCCUCCCUGAGUUUUCAUAUUCCGGGAAAAAUAAAGUGUAGAAUUAUUUUGUUGGGAAACUAGUUCAUGUAUUUUAACUGAAAUAUAAAUAUUAUGCCAUCCUAAACUAUUGUAUGUACUACAUAUUCUAAUUUUCCUUUGUCUUGUUUCUCAUUUGGAUUAUAUUAUUGUGUUCCCUUCUUUAAACUUCGGUAUCUUCUCAUGGGAACAGGACUGCAGGACAAUCAUGAGGACUGCAAACUUCAGAUAGGGUUUAGCUCUCACAGCUAAACUGGGGUAGAUAACAACUUGAAAAGAUGUAGGCCUGUUGUUAGAUUUGGCCUGGUUUGGCCUAUUACUUGACAAGGGGGUGAAGGGACCCAUGGACCCCCACCCUGGGAAAGGGAGGGGAAGGGAAAAGGUAGGAAAAUGGGCCUGGAUGAAUGAUAAUGGCAGCAAUGGCCUAAGGAAAAACUUGAUUUAUUAAAUACAGUAAUGGAAUGUGAGAUAACGCAAUGUAGUACAGUAUGAUUGGAAUUGAAGUUAAUAAAUCAAAUGAAAUGAGAGUUUCUGAAACCAAAGUCCAUACUGUAGGCAAAACUGCCAAGGAGCAAAGAGAAAGGUCUCAUGAGUCCCAGUCAGUUUUCUCUUACCCUCCAAAUGAAAAUGGAAAAAUGAAGGCUUCUGGGAGUUGUAGUUCAGCUCAGUAUUCUCUUCUGAGACGAGGAGACUGGAAAUACCAACAGUGCACAGAAUUGCAACAUCAACUCUUUAACUCCCAGUGCGCUACAUGAUGUUGUAGUGGAAUACUGAUCCACUGAUGUGAAAAACCAUCAAACCAUGGCACCAGUGAAAUCAUGAAUGCAGUGACCUAGGUCUAUGUCAGUGCAGUCUGUAGCAUUUAUUUUUCUAACUUUGUAUGAUUAAAUAUUAUGCACUGAUGAAAUUCUGUUGGGGCAAAGGUUGGGGUUGUUGCAGUGGGGGACAUCAGUUGCCACAUGCAAAUGAAAUUCCUUAGGAAGACCUGUUUUUUAAUUUCUUCUGUCUCCUGGAGGAGACAAAAAACAUAGAAACAAAAAUAUAGAAACAGCCCUGCUGAGCAGGAUUUGUUUAUACAUCACCCAAAAAUGGAGACAUUAUAUCUUAGUAAUAUUUCAUCAGACAAUAUACUCUAGCAAAAUGACACCAAGGAAAAUGUACCAUUCAACACAUGCUCACUUUUUUUUUUUGCUUUUAGCAUUAAGAUUUAUAUAUAUUUUGUAUAGAUACAUAUUUUGAAGUCAUCCAGGAAUUGCACUGGCAGAGAAGGCUGGAAUACUUUUACAGGAGUACUAUUUACAGGAAUCGUGGAGACCUUCUAAGGUCUUUCCAGGUUUUGUUUGUGUUUUUUUUUUUGUCCUUGCUAUUUCUAAGAAGCACACAUAAAUUCUGCUGAAACUUGAGCUUAAGCUUACAUGCCUGCAUUGUCUUUACAGUGCUCUGAAACACAAAGUGAUUAACAGUAGGCCAAACUCUCGAAGUGUUUACAUGCUGUAAUAUCUAAUUCCUGUUUGUACAAUGGCUUUGUAAGAGCCAAAGUAGAUAUUUGCUCACAUGUAAUAAAUAGCUUCCAUGAAAUGUAUGUUAAUGCUAUUGGCAAGCUAGGAAAUAAAUGCAGUUUUCGGAGAUGGUCUCUCAGGGUAUGCCUUGAGCUAGUCAGCUUACUAGCUGGGCGCAAUUCCAGCUCAUAAAAGACUUUGUUCCUAUGUUAGAAGCAAAUACAGUUUUUUUGUGUGGCAGUAAAUUGUGGUGUAAGAGUUGGUGGUACCUACGUAUCUCUGUAGGUAUGAUGUAUUUAUUUAAUAAGGAGGACCAAGGCCUAUCUCUAUACAUUAGUUUCAUUUAUUCACUAUGAAGUAGGGUAGUGUACUAGAAGUACAACCCAGGAAGCAGUUCACGGGCAGCAGAAUCAUGAAACCUAGUUGUACUGCAGAUGGUUUUGUUAUCCAAAGUAAUCCAACUUCCACUUGAGGCUUUUUAUGUAACUGAGGUGUUUCUGAUAUCCCAUACCUGUAACACCAAGGAAGUACCCGUUAACAAGUUAUUAGAGGCAGAUGGACAUUAACAUAAUUACACAGUGUGAUUUUUAUGAAGCAUAAGGUUGGAAAUUGAUUUCUAGUGUUGUGAAUUUCAUUACCAAGUUCAUAAACGAUCUGUGUAGUGGUGCAAAUUGCUUAAUUUAUAAGGAGAGCACGUGAGGUAGUUAGGGAGGCUCACAGACUUUCAGUAGAAAAUUAGAGCUCUAUUUUGUUUAUAGUGUAGAAUGAGGCCUGUUCUAGCAGGUUAAGACAAAAUACUUCAUCAUCAGUAGGAGAAGACUGGAAUCCAGUUUUGACGUCUAGUACCUCAACUUAGUGAAGUUCUGCUCCCUCUCAGCCCAGUUGCUCCAGCUGUUACAGUACAUGUUGGGAUAACCUCAUAAAGACUUUGUGAAGCCCUGUCACUUUGCAAAUGCACUAAUAUCCUGCAUGUUCCCUCAGGAGAGAUGUGGAAAGUUUGAAUUACUCAAACAAAUGCUCAUCUUGAAUGUGUUAGUGGUAUUAAAAUAAAUCAGGAUGUUUGCACCUGUUUUCUUUGAUACUUCCCUGCUUGUGACCAAAUUAUUGCACUUUGGGCUGAACUUGAGAUUUAGUAGGUUCACUUCUAUGGAUUCAGGUGGGACCUUGCGAUGGGGUAUGUCACCUACUCAGCACUGGUAGGGUGUAGCUACUAAAUUUCUGCUUCUGAACAGAUGUCUUUGAGAGUCAGCAUUGAUGGAAACUUAAGCCUUUAAUGACUUCUAGCUGCCUAGAUUUGCCCCAAUUUUGAAUUACUGAAUUCUGAUUCAGUGCUAGUGAAUCAUUCCCCUUUAACUGCCUAACUUAGAUUUCAUGAAUGUGGAACUAAGACUCUAAAUUAGAAGAAAUAGAGUUGAGAUCCCUCUGAGCAAAACUCAGUGCAGAACGAAACUUGGAAUCAUCACAGAAUCAUAGAAUCACCAGGGUUGGAAAAGACCCACAGGAUUACCCUGUCCAACCAUCCGCCCAUUACCAAUAGUUCUCACUAAACUAUGUCCCUCAACACAGUGUCCAAAUGUUCCUUCAACACCUCCAGGGUCAGUGACUCCACCACCUCCCUGGGCAGCCCAUUCCAGUGCCUGACCACCCUUUCAGAGAAGUAGUAUUUCCUAACGUCCAGCCUGAAUUUUCCCUGGUGCAGCUUGAAGCCAUUCCCUCUAGUCCUAUCACUAGUCACACGAGAGAAGAGGCCGGCCCCCAGUUCUCUUCAGGUAGUUAUAGAGAGCAAUAAAUUAUCCACUGAGCCUCCUCUUCUCUAGACUGAACAAUCCCAGCUCCUUCAACUGCUCCUCAUUAGGCCUGCGCUCCAGACCCCUCACCAGCUUUGUUGCCCUUUGAACAUGCUUCAGGGCCUUGAUGUCUUUCUUACAGUGAGGGGCCCAAAAGUGGACACAGAUUCUCAAGCUGUCAUAGAAUAACUUUUCUUCUAUGUACUGUAGACCAUACUUUCUUGGAAAAACGUGAGCUGAGGGUUGUACCUGUGUGGAUAGAAACAUUUAUUUAUUUAUUUAUUUUUCCUGAGAAGACUGAAGUAAUGUUAUAGGCAAACUAACUUCCAAUUCUGCUGGUACAGCAAGGUAUACAGCAUGGUAGAUGUAUACUAAGGACUACAGAGACUUGAGGAAAGACCUUUUUAUCUUUGGGCAUUGGUUUGUAGAGUACGUAUGAUUAGUAGAGGGGUGCACUAUGGUAAAAUAGGAUCUGAAGUAGUGAAGAGUGCUGUAACUUGGGUUUUAUUGUCUUAUGAAAUGUCCUGGGAGGCCUAUUUUUAAAAAUAUUGUUAAUGUUUUACUCUAAGUGCUGCUUUAAGUAGAAUGGAUUUAGCUUUACCUUAUUUACCUUACAGUUUGUGUAGGUAAGGUUUAUGCACAGUUAACAGUCUUGUGAUUCACUGUUGUUUAAAAUUUACUGAAUGUACAAUGUAAGAUUAUUUUUUUUGUUACUGUUGCGGAUUGCUCCUUUUUGCAUGUUUUGGUCCUCUUCUCAUUCCACUUGGGAAAAAGAGGGUGUGCUAACAUCUGUUAUAAUACACACUCUUUGUUCAGUUGCAGGAAGUUGAAGGAUCAAGUGUAUUUUGUUUUUAUGCAUGUCCUUUAGCUUAUUCCUCCUAGAAAUAGUUUUUCAUCUAGUCUGUGCCUGCAUAAACUGAAAAGCUGGGCAUCAGCUACAGAGUUAACGCUUUGCAAGUUGUGUGGGCAAAAGCAACAGUAAAUAACAGAAGUUGAGUGAUUCUGCUUUGUGUAUGUAUAAAUACUCAUGUUGUGACUUACCUGAUAACUUAUUAGCAUGCUGCCUCUUGUUGAACAGGUUUCUGAUCACAGAAUCUCCUUGAGCAUCAUUGUUCUGAUUAAGUCAAAGUAUUGCAAACAUAUGGACUAAGGAAAAUUCUCAUCUCUAGGCACAAUAGAACUUGAAUAUUUUAUAACUUAAUGGGGAAAGGAAGAGCUAUUCCCUGUACCUUAUGUGCUUAGAGGAGACCAAAAUAGUUUAAUCUUUUGCAAAUGCUUCAAAGAAGAAUACUGGAGUACUAACUGAAUUAUAUGGGGCUUCCAUAUCUCCCCCACCCCCCCCUAUUGCUGAUGCCAGACUGAAGCAAUGAUACUGAAUGUGGAUUUUUCAUAUUAGGAUUAGAUUGCAGAACAAUUCCAAUUAUAUGACACUUUUUAUUCUGUUACACGUGAAUAUUUUGUGUAAGUUGCUGCUUUCCUUUGUUGCAGUCUUCCUUAUUGACUAUUCCCUCUCUGGGAACGGUUCAGAUGUUCUUGUCUGACAGUGUUUUAAUUUCUUAUUAAAAAAAAAAAAAAAAAAAAAAAAAAAAAAGGAAAGAAAGAAAGAAAAAAGGUAGGAGGGAGCUCUGCCCCCGCCCGUCCCGCAGCCGGCAGGGGCGCUCGACGGAAGCCGGAUGCGGUCGCUGUGCGCUGGGCUUCCCGGCUACGCGCCGGGCGGCAGCGGGGCUGGCUGCGUGCUGCGGGGCCGCUGAGCGGUGCGUCAGGCAGCAGCAGCACCACAAAGCAGCAAUGCUUCGGGUCUUCGGCGGCAGGUACCGGCCUGCUGAAUUCUCUGUGAAGAUCACGCGAGGAGUUAUGCAGGGAUGGGGAAUUGGGAUACAGAGUGGUAGGGGCAUAAUGCAGUGCAGAUAAACAUCAAAGUUUAGGUUAACAUAGGGAAUAGUAGUAGAAUAGCAUUUGUAACAUGGAGGGGGGAUAGUCUACAAUGCUCCUCUGUGACUUGCAGUUAUUUCCCUGGCGUAGUCUCAUCUGUUCCCUUGUGAGGUCUCGGCUGAUAAAUCACUACAAUCACAAAGAAUCAAACAAAAUGUUUUAACAUUUUCAUUAAAAUAAAAUAAAUAAAAUUUAGUAAUUCAUUAAGAAAACCCACACUGACCCGUGUUUGUAGAUAAAUUCUCAAACUUUCGUAAUACUGUUAUGAACUCUUUCAGUAAAACAGUUAAUGGAUCUGUAGAUGAGGUCAACUUAGAGAUGCACGUGAAGUUUUACUGGCGUCACAUAAGUUUAUGGGAUCAUUGGUAGCAGAGCAGGAUAGUGCUAUGAAUGCAAAUGGUGCACAGCUUUUUCAAUUCAAGUCUUCUAGCUUAAUUAUCCUAACCUAAAAUACAAGGAUUUUCUUUAUAUACUUACCAUAGCAACUGUACAGUAAUUCUGCAUAACUGAGGGGGGGGAGGAAAGGUGUUUUGUUGUUGUUGUUGUUCCCUGCUGCUUCUAUAGCUUCAAGGAGCUCCAUGUGAGUGCUGGAUUUCCCCACUAAGUUCAAAGCAAGAGGAUGGUAUCAGAACCAAGAAGAGUUUAUGAAGAGUGGGGGUUAGUCCAGAAGUAGAUGCCUGAAUUUUCCAUAGGCACAUGAUGUGAACAUAGUAGUGAACACAACAGUACACAGUUGUAAUAAGAACUUCCUUAAUUGAUGUGAUGGAUGUAAAAAUAAUAGAUAGGACUCAGGACUGAGAGAGCCUUGAAGAAUGACUUAAAAAGAAAGCUUAACAGAUGUUUGAACUACUUUCAGAUAUCUGAAACAAAGUAGGAGAUAGCAUGAAAGUAUUUCUUCAUUUUAGAAGCUGGAAAUGGAGGCAGGUGCUGCAGUCCUUUGGAAAUCAGCAUCGUGGGUGGGAUGGGAACAGUAAAGGGACUUGCAAUCAAAGCUAAAUGGCCUGUGUUUGACAUGGCAAAAAGGAUGUGAGAGAAGCAGAUGUAAGUAAAGCAAGGAAAAUUAUUUUUGUAGUAGCUCUCUAAAGGGAUACAGGGAGAAUAGCACAGCCAAAUAAAGGGUUUUCAGUGCUUACAAGCAAGAUGACAGUCUGAAGAAGAAUGUUAGCUAUGUACGUAAGUAAAGUUAGUGCUGUAUGCCAAGAGAAAAUAAAAAGAUAGAUAGAAGAUGGAAAUUUGAUUUCUAACAACUCUUUUCGUUAACCUGUAGAAUUGGAGGAUAGAAGUUUCAGUGAGUCGUUACCAAUAGGAGAUAUGAUAAAAUGCCAGUUUGCUUUAAAUCCAUGGGCUCUGGGAUCAUCUGUUGCUGAUGGCAAACUUCUGUACAGUUCAAGAAACUCACAUUGUAUUUCUUAUCUGGCAAGACUUUUCCCCUCUCUUCUAAUAAAUUAUUUUUGUAUCUUUAUUGUGAACGAGCGUGUCUUGUAUUAGAUGUUGAGGAAUCACUUUGUGGUCCUCAGGAUUUCCUCUACCAUCUUCAAGUUGCCAAGUAAGAUCCCACGCUUUCUGCUUCCCACAUCCAAAUUGUUUUCCCCAGUGAUAUUCUUCAAUAUUCAGAAGUGUUCUCUUUAAGAACAAGUGUUUUACUGAGUGGCAAGGGAUUUGCUAUCUACUAACAGCGUACAGACAAGGCAUUGAAUUGUUAAUUAUUUCUAUUUUGAUUGAAACCAC